rnacentral:antisense_RNA from 1 species
GUGGGCGCGGGCUUGCUCGCGAAUGCAGUGUGUCAGUCAGCAACUUUUUCACUGACCCACCGUAUUCGCGAGCAAGCCCGCGCCCAC